rfam:Oryza rufipogon genomic scaffold, chr02
AAAAAGGCAAACCCUAGGUUUGCGUGUCCAACUUUGACAGUCCGUCUUAUAGGAAAUUUUUUUAUAAUUCGUAUUUUUAUUGUUGUUAGAUGAUAAAACAUGAUUAAUACUUUGUGCGUAACUUGUCUUUUUAAUUUUUUUCAUAUUUUUUUGAAUAAUACGGAUGGUCAAACAUUGAGCACGGAAACCAGGGUUUGUCUUUUU